UACGAAGGGGGCUAGCGUUGCUCGGAAUCACUGGGCGUAAAGGGUGCGUAGGCGGGUCUUUUAAGUCAGGGGUGAAAUCCUGGAGCUCAACUCCAGAACUGCCUUUGAUACUGAAGAUCUUGAGUUCGGGAGAGGUGAGUGGAACUGCGAGUGUAGAGGUGAAAUUCGUAGAUAUUCGCAAGAACACCAGUGGCGAAGGCGGCUCACUGGCCCGAUACUGACGCUGAGGCACGGAAAGCGUGGGGGAGCAAACAGG
rnacentral:rRNA from 1 species